rnacentral:rRNA from 1 species
AGCGAACGCUGGCGGCAGGCCUAACACAUGCAAGUCGAACGAACCCUUCGGGGUUAGUGGCGGACGGGUGAGUAGCACGUGGGAACGUGCCUUUAGGUUCGGAAUAACUCAGGGAAACUUGUGCUAAUACCGAAUGUGCCCUUCGGGGGAAAGAUUUAUCGCCCUUAGAGCGGCCCGCGUCUGAUUAGCUAGUUGGUGAGGUAAUGGCUCACCAAGGCUACGAUCAGUAGCUGGUCUGAGAGGAUGACCAGCCACAUUGGGACUGGGACACGGCCCAAACUCCUACGGGAGGCAGCAGUGGGGAAUCUUGCGCAAUGGGCGAAAGCCUGACGCAGCCAUGCCGCGUGGAUGAUGAAGGUCUUAGGAUUGUAAAAUCCUUUCACCGGUGAAGAUAAUGACUGUAGCCGGAGAAGAAGCCCCGGCUAACUUCGUGCCAGCCGCCGCGGUAACAC